AAAUAAUAAUUAAACGGGUAAACAUGAAGAUAAGAUAAACAGCUUCAGUGGCUGAAUGACUACAACGCUGAUAUAAGGAGAAUAAUAGGCCCAGCACUACGACGUCAAGGGAAAUCUCGAGCUCUGAGCUGGGUCCUGAGGAAGACCUUUAACCUCACCAGAUCAUUCAAAGCCAGUUGAAUGGAAACCAUGAAUUGUGGCUACAGACAAACGAUAUAUUUGUAACUCAAAACUUAUUUACUGUUUAUUGUUUUCUUAUCACGUGUCUGUAUUAAAUUUUAACAUGUUUUGUCUACUAAA